rnacentral:rRNA from 1 species
UGGGGAAUAUUGCACAAUGGGCGAAAGCCUGAUGCAGCGACGCCGCGUGAGGGAUGACGGCCUUCGGGUUGUAAACCUCUUUCAGCAGGGAAGAAGCGAAAGUGACGGUACCUGCAGAAGAAGCGCCGGCUAACUACGUGCCAGCAGCCGCGGUAAUACGUAGGGCGCAAGCGUUGUCCGGAAUUAUUGGGCGUAAAGAGCUCGUAGGCGGCUAGUCGCGUCUGCUGUGAAAACUCGAGGCUCAACCUCGGGCUUGCAGUGGGUACGGGCUGACUAGAGUGCGGUAGGGGUGACUGGAAUUCCUGGUGUAGCGGUGGAAUGCGCAGAUAUCAGGAGGAACACCGAUGGCGAAGGCAGGUCACUGGGCCGCAACUGACGCUGAGGAGCUAAAGCAUGGGGAGCGAACAGGAUUAGAUACCCUGGUAGUCCAUGCCGUAAACGUUGGGCACUAGGUGUGGGGUCCAUUUCCACGGAUUCCGUGCCGCAGCAAACGCAUUAAGUGCCCCGCCUGGGGAGUACGGCCGCAAGGCUAAAACUUAAAGGAAUUG